CACGGAGUUAGCCGGGGCUUAUUCUCCCGGUACAGUCAUUAUCUUCCCGGGUAAAAGAGCUUUACAACCCUAAGGCCUUCAUCACUCACGCGGCAUUGCUGGAUCAGGCUUUCGCCCAUUGUCCAAAAUUCCCCA
rnacentral:rRNA from 1 species